rnacentral:rRNA from 1 species
CAGUCGCCACGGUAAUACGAAGGGGGCUAGCGUUGUUCGGAUUUACUGGGCGUAAAGGGAGCGUAGGCGGAUUGUUAAGUCAGGGGUGAAAUCCCAAGGCUCAACCUUGGAACUGCCUUUGAUACUGGCGAUCUUGAGUCCGGGAGAGGUGAGUGGAACUGCGAGUGUAGAGGUGAAAUUCGUAGAUAUUCGCAAGAACACCAGUGGCGAAGGCGGCUCACUGGCCCGGAACUGACGCUGAGGCUCGACAGCGUGGGGAGCAAACAGGAUUAGAUACCCCAGUAGUCCCUGUCUCUUAUAC